rnacentral:rRNA from 1 species
UACGUAGGGUGCGAGCGUUAAUCGGAAUUACUGGGCGUAAAGCGUGCGCAGGCGGUUGGUUAAGUCUGAUGUGAAAGCCCCGGGCUUAACCUGGGAAUGGCAUUUGGGACUGCAAGGCUUGAGUGCGGCAGAGGAGACUGGAAUUCCUGGUGUAGCAGUGAAAUGCGUAGAUAUCAGGAGGAAUACCGAUGGCGAAGGCAGGUCUCUGGGCGGACACUGACGCUCAUGCACGAAAGCGUGGGGAGCAAACGAGGAUUAGAGUACCCCG